AGAUUCUUAAAUGAUGCUCCACCUGCACAUAUUUUAAGCCACAGCCACACACACAAGAAAGAAGACAUGAAGGAAUGUGCAAAAAGAGACAAGAGAUAAUCGAACAAUGUGGCAAGUAAACAUUCGAGAAAUUCCUAAUGCUUAUUAAAGACACUGUUUGAAAAGUUUAGCUGUAAUCUUCAAAACCAUAGCUUUUUGAUACUAAGACAACAAAUUCAAAAAAGUUCACAUAUUCAUGAUAGAUUAUGACUUUAGUUUAUUACUUUCUACAGAAGCAGAAUAAGAAUGACCUGGUGAAGGGAUCCAAAAACAGUUUUCAAGAUUUUGUCCUCCACUAUCCCUUAAAACAAAAGAUAAAAAUUUACUUGCGUUUUAGUUAGUGGAAAUCGAAAAAAAGGUAGACUAAAAUAAUCACUUGUUCACCAAUAGAGAAAAAAACGAAAAUCUUAAAAAGUUGUACAGGUGGCAAAGACGAAUGAAUACUUUUCUUAGAUUGGGACCUGUUUUGGGUUUGGAUUUUGAGCUAGACAUUUAAAAUUCAGCAGCUUUACCUAAUGGCGAAUUCAAUCUUAA